CCGUAGCUAACGCGUGAAGUUGACCGCCUGGGGAGUACGGCCGCAAGGCUAAAACUCAAAGGAAUUGACGGGGACCCGCACAAGCGGUGGAUGAUGUGGAUUAAUUCGAUGCAACGCGAAAAACCUUACCUACCCUUGACAUGUCAGGAAUCCCGGAGAGAUUUGGGAGUGCUCGCAAGAGAACCUGAACACAGGUGCUGCAUGGCUGUCGUCAGCUCGUGUCGUGAGAUGUUGGGUUAAGUCCCGCAACGAGCGCAACCCUUGUCAUUAAUUGCCAUCAUUAAGUUGGGCACUUUAAUGAGACUGCCGGUGACAAACCGGAGGAAGGUGGGGAUGACGUCAAGUCCUCAUGGCCCUUAUGGGUAGGGCUUCACACGUCAUACAAUGGUCGGUCCAGAGGGUUGCCAACCCGCGAGGGGGAGCCAAUCUCAGAAAGCCGAUCGUAGUCCGGAUCGCAGUCUGCAACUCGACUGCGUGAAGUCGGAAUCGCUAGUAAUCGCGGAUCAGCAUGUCGCGGUGAAUACGUUCCCGGGUCUUGUACACACCGCCCGUCACACCAUGGGAGCGGGUUCUGCCAGAAGUAGUUAGCCUAACCGCAAGGAGGGCGAUUACCACGGCUAGGGUUCGUGACUGGGGUGAAGUCG
rnacentral:rRNA from 1 species